UGCAGCGACUCUCCUGCCUUGGCCUCCCAAAGUGCUUGGAUGACAGGCAUGAGCUGCCACACCAGCCUGCAUCAUUCUUUACAGGCAGAUGCACCUGCUGCUUCAUAUUCAUGCCUUUGAUGCUUCCUUUCUUGAUGGCUCAGAAGCAAACACAGAUGAAACUCCUACAUCGUGUGCACAGGCCAGACAUACAUAUUCAUUACAUGUUUCAAAGUUCUUUACGAGUGGGAUUUCCUGUAGUACCUGAGGAGCAUCUUGAUUUACUCUAAUUCCGGGUCUCAUGUUCAGAUUCCCCCGCUUUUUUUGCUUUUGUGACUUAUCUCUAAUCAGGGCUCCUGAUGCAGGAGAAGGGCUGAGUGUUUGCUGAUGGUUUGGGAUAGUGUGUCUGCUCGGCAUGGGAAGGAGAAAGCUAAGAUGACACCAUUGGCUGUUUUACGGUCAUUUCAUGAGGAGUUAGCAGAUUUUUCCCCUUUUAUUAAGAGGCUGGAAGGAGUACUGCUGUGGAUAGAAGUCCAGGAAGACAUCAGCUCAUCUAAGGAACAGUGUUCUAGCAAGAGAGGCUCGGAGGGAAGACUUUAGGGGUUUCCAGAAAUGACCCAAGGAGGAGUCAUUCAAGAAGAUGGAAAGCAUUUGCUAUGGUGUUGUGGAGGGCGUUUUUCCACUGGGGUAAUUUGCACAUCUUGAUGGCUUCCAGUUUCUUCUGAUUCUCAGAGGCUGUGAAUUCGUGCUAGAAGCAGCCUUUUUACAUUCUUUAGGUCUUUAUCAUCAAAAUUGCUUGUGUGUGUGUGUGUGUGUGUGUGUGUGUUUCUGUUUACCCAGGUAAGUUUCUAGCCUUUUAGUUCCCUAGUGUUGCUAGCCUGACUCUGCAGUGUGUCCUACAUCCUGAGGACAGGACCUGGGAUGCCACCAACACUGUCCCCCACAACUUGUCCUUGAUGUUCUGAUGCAAAGCCAGAGGAACAGCUGUCCAGCUCCAGCCUGAUUUACAAACACAACCCAGGCGCCCUUUGGGGAACCAUGCAGAAGAGAAAGCAAAGUUUCUGUAGCUGCCCACACCCCAGGAAGGGCAUCUCUGAGAGUGUCUUCCUGGUGACAAGGCUCUGUGGGAACAGCAAGGGGCAGAAAGGCUGACGUAGAAAAGGAGGAGGCAUGGCUGCCCCAGAUCGCUCUGCAGACUAAAGGUACAGCCACCAUGAAUAUGACAUCCACCCUCGUGAUUGUGGCCGGGUUUUGUCUAUGAUGUGAGGGAUCUAGCAAUGGUUCUAAAUGGUAAGUGACGUGUGCAUGUAAUGUCUGCAUGUGUGUGUGGCAUGUGGGUGUUGGAGGUGGUGUGGGAAGGGCACGGGGAGAGACGAGGAUCAGCGUUGCUAGCUUGGUUCAAGUAGACACCAGAGCGGAUGACUGAGGCCUGUGAACCUGUGUGUUUACCGAAGGAAAGUCUCCUAUCCCACAUGUCUUUGUCUCAUUGCUAUAACCUCAUGGACCCUGUAGGGUACACAGAGCUCAUUUUACUGGUAGGAAAAUGAACCCCGCAAGGCUGAGUGGAGUUGCUAAGUACCCACAAAUCUGUCUACGAAUGGAGAGAAGAAGGAAUUUGCUAGUCAGGGCCACCUGUGGCCAGUGUGAACACAAGACAGCAUGUAUGAGGAAGUGACUCUGUGUUAGCACAUUCCCAGAGUCUUCAGGCCCCCCGAGAAAGGUGGCCAGUAAAGGGGGGCAGAGGGCACCUGGGAGAUGUGAGCAGGCAGGGCUUCAGCAUUGGCCUUCGGGUCUCCAGGGCUUGGCACGCUCAAGACAGAUUCCACAGAUCUGCCUGCUUCCCUGUUCCUGAGCUCAGCCUUCAUUCCCUGACUCCAUCCCUAAGAACUCGCACAUGCCCCAGCAGGUCAUCCUCAUUGACCUUGAAAUUGGGCCACAGUGGUUGUGUGUGUUUCUCCUCCCACUCUGAGCCUCCCAGCAUCUCCUGGCUUGGCCACACUGGUUGCGGUCAUGAUGCUGUCAACCAUCACCACUGUCCGGAUCCUGACAACUCAGUCUUUGGACCCUUUGCACAUGAACAGCUUUGUUUUCCUGUAUCGUCUGGACUCUAAGCCUUUCUCAUUCAGAGGGAUUUUACAAGGACCUGUUGAAAUUCACUUGAUGAAUAGCAAUUGCUUUGAUUCUGGACCAAUACUGGGCUCCAUAUCUAAGUGCAUUCAAAGUAUUCUCUUUGCAACUGAGACCCUGUGCCCAAAUGCCUUGCUUUCUUUCUGAGACUGGGACCCUUUUAAGCGUAGAGGUCUUUCUGCAAGUUAUCCAGCCAGCGUCCUAUAUGAAAUGGAACCUGUGGAAAGCAUUGCCAAUGGUGACGCCUCUGUUUCCUCAUCUCACUGAGCUGCAUAUGAUGCCAAAUGGCUUAAGGAUGGUUUUGGACACCCUUGUGUUCAAGAGCUACAUCAACUUUAGUUCUUUAUUUAAAUUAAACAGUUAAUUUUGGCAGUGGUAGGUGGUAAUGAAGGGGAAUGGAAAGUGUAAGCAGCUAAUGUCUAAGUUCCUGAAAUUAUGGGGGCACAGGUAGGAAGCUCCAUGGGGCAAAGUGUGGUUACGAGGCUGGACUGCAUGGAGUUAAUGAGACAGCCACAUCCUCCCUUAGGACUCUUCCUUGUGUGCAAUGUUUGUCUUUCAAAUACUCCAUCGGCUGCACCCAUGCACAAUGUUCCCACUGAACAGACUUCCUUCUCGCAGUAUUUUCCUUACUGGGCCCUUUGCAAGAACAUUCUACAGGGAUUUCCCUGAAUUUGAAAUCUGAGCUCAUGACUUUAGAGACAGUGCUGGCUGACUUCAUUCCAGGAGGACUGAGCUCUUCCAUUUUCCAGCAGUCAUGGCGCAUUCUGUGGUCAUUUUCCAAGACCUUGUGGUGGGUUGUCCCGUUUCUGCUGGUGGGAAACAAAUUAAACACAAUUUGCUAUUUGCCUUUUACCCCUCAGUUCAUCAAGAGAGCAUUAGUCGGCUGAGUGACUGCCGCCCCCCAGGGGCUGGGAGAGGGGAGUCUUGAGGGAGUUCCUGGUCAUACUGUAUGCCUGUGGGUUGGGAGAUCACAUCCUAUUUGUAUCAGACGGAAUAUGCUGGACCAGAAAAAAGAACAACUGGGAACUGUGUUCUUCCAACUUUGGUUUCUGAUCCCUCUAGUUAAUGCCAUCCAUGAAAACAAUUAACUUCUCUAUAUUUCAGGAUCCAGGCAGGACCUUGUAGGAAUCUUAUUUAAUUAUGUGCUAUAUUAAUGUUAUAUUGAUUAUGUUAUUGCCUGUAAAUCCAGUUGCUUAAUAAAGCUGCAGUCACUUUGCAAUAAA